rnacentral:lncRNA from 1 species
CAACUGGAAUUGCUCGUUAACCUUCUUAGAGCUCUCUUUCUCGUGCCGUCUCAUCUGAAUCUCACAUGCUGCUAUGAAGUGCGGAGCAGAUGCAAUUAUUCUCUUUUCACAGGGGAGGAUCCUGAGCCACAGGAAACCACAAGGAUCUGGACUAGCUGGGUCCCUGCUCCCUCCCUGUUCCUUCCAGCUGGAUCAGUCGUUUGGGCUUCAGUCUGUGUAACCCCAGACCGAAGAACCAGUGUUAGUUCUCGUCAGAAUUUAAAUUAAAUUCCAAAGGGCUUCACAAGCUGUCUUUCCUCUUUUCUGGCUUUUUCUUUUCCUUUGAGGAAAAUGGUCUCAGAAACUUGAUGUAUUCGGUCAUUAGAGGCCUUCCUAGCCUAGAGCCAGCACCACAAGCUGUUCCUGGGAAGCAUGGGAACAGCAACUGACACAGCCCUGCUGGAGGCUGCGGUGGCAGAGCAGCAAGAGGCUCCCUCAGUGAUUCUGGAAUCAGGAAGAACUGCAGAACCUUCACGACUGCCUCUCUCCAUGCGAGCUGGGCUGUAAUCAUGUCCUGCCUCCUAGAAAGCACUGACUGUUUAUCGAGUGCCCACUUUAUGCCAGGCGUCAUGCUGUGCACCAGGGGUCUGGAGUUAAGUGAAACUCUGCCCUUAUCUUCAAGGAGCUCGCCGUUCAGAUGAGCCAAGAUUCUCAGCGUGGAAGAAAGGAGGUGCAUAUGUAACAGAGCAAAGGUGAAGGAAAAGUUCUGCAGGCUCACGUUUGAACUAAACAGCUGAUUCCAGGUCUGGAACAGGAAAGCUAAGACGGGCAUGGAACAUCUUGUUUCACACCCAGAGCCAGUUACCAGGAAGUUAUCAAAUCCUACCUGGGGAUGACAAAAGGACUCAAGAACCGAAUUAAAGAGGCUCCCACUGGCUAAAGAGAGUUGAAGUGACUGGCCCCGACUACACAGCCAGGAGCUCCCAAGCCAAGCUGACUGUUUCUGUAGCCCACAUACAGUCUCAAGGAUUAAAUCAAGAAAUGAGAGAAGAUGAAAUGUACCUCCAGAUGUCUCCGAAGAAGGGAAUAAAUGGGCAUAUCAUCAACAGGCAGCGAGCCUAAGACGACUUAUGAAGAUGGCCAAUGGUACUGUAAAGAGCUGAGCUACGAUCUAAAGCAUGAAGAGGAACCACCUGGGGUAUUCCCAAUAGAGGUCAGUAUUUGCAAAGGCCCCGUGGCAGGGGAAGUAUGUUCCACUUGAGGAUAGUGUGGCUGGAAUGCAGCGAGUGAGGGCACAAUCGCUAUGGAAGGAGCAGGGUCUGGACCAUGCAGGAACUUGCAGGGCGUGCUAAGG